rnacentral:rRNA from 1 species
UACGGGGGGGGCAAGCGUUGUUCGGAAUUACUGGGCGUAAAGGGCUCGUAGGCGGCCAACUAAGUCAGACGUGAAAUCCCUCGGCUUAACCGGGGAACUGCGUCUGAUACUGGAUGGCUUGAGUUCGGGAGAGGGAUGCGGAAUUCCAGGUGUAGCAGUGAAAUUCGUAGAUAUUGGGAAGAACACCGGUGGCGAAGGCGGCUCACUGGCUCAUUUCUGACGCUCAGGCGCGACAGCGUGGGGAUCAAACAGG